UUGCCAGACUCCUACGGGAGGCAGCAGUGGGGAAUAUUGGGCAAUGGGCGCAAGCCUGACCCAGCAACGCCGCGUGAAGGAAGAAGGCUUUCGGGUUGUAAACUUCUUUUCUUGGGGACGAAGAAAGUGACGGUACCCAAGGAAUAAGCCACGGCUAACUACGUGCCAGCAGCCGCGGUAAUACGUAGGUGGCAAGCGUUAUCCGGAUUUAUUGGGUUUAAAGGGUGCGCAGGCGGCACGGCAAGCCGGCGGUCAAAUCGCGGGGCUCAACCCCGCCCAGCCGUCGGAACUGCCGGGCUAGAGUGGGCGAGAAGUGCGCGGAAUGCGUGGUGUAGCGGUGAAAUGCAUAGAUAUCACGCAGAACUCCGAUUGCGAAGGCAGCGCACCGGCGCCCUACUGACGCUCAGGCACGAAAGCGUGGGUAUCGAACAGGAUUAGAUACCCGAGUA
rnacentral:rRNA from 1 species